UCCUGGCUGUAAACGAUGGGCACUAGGUGCUGGGAGAUUCGACCCUUUCAGUGCCGCAGCUAACGCAUUAAGUGCCCCGCCUGGGGAGUACGACCGCAAGGUUAAAACUCAAAGGAAUUGACGGGUCCCCGCACAAGCGGUGGAGCAUGUGGUUUAAUUCGAUGCAACGCGAAGAACCUUACCUGGACUUGACAUCCCGCUGAAAGCUCUUGGAAACAGGAGCCUUCCUUCGGGACAGCGGAGACAGGUGGUGCAUGGCUGUCGUCAGCUCGUGCCGUGAGGUGUUGGAUUAAGUUCCGCAACGAGCGCAACCCUCGCCGUUAGUUGCCAGCAUUUAGUUGGGCACUCUAGCGGGACUGCCGGCGUCAAGCC
rnacentral:rRNA from 1 species